ensembl:misc_RNA Metazoa_SRP Metazoan signal recognition particle RNA
GCUGGGCAUGGUGGUGCAUGCCUGUAAUCCCAGCUACUUGGGAGGCUGAGGCAGGAGAAUCGCUUGAACCCAGGAGGCAGAGGUUGCAGUGGACCAAGAUCGUGCCACUGAACUGCAGCCUGAGUACCAUGGCAAGAUCCCAUCUCUA